UUUACCGCUUCGUCUACUUGCUACUGCAUUUCCGAAGUUCCAACAAAUUUUUCAAUGGCGGAUGGAACAACCAGGAAAUUCUCAGCUUCUUUUGCAAGAGCUCACACCCGAAAACCUAAAUCAAAUUCUCCUUCAAAAAACUCAGGUGAGCUUUCAUUUUUUUUCUGCCUCAAUUUUAAGACUGGCAUUUCGCUUGGUGUUUGUCGAAUUUCUUCAUCAAAUGCCCAUUCCAGUUUACUAAAUUUAGUUUUUUAGGGUUUAUGCGUAUCAUUUAGUUGAUUAUAUUUCUCUUGCAUAGCAUAUGUAAGCUUCAGUGUUGCCUAAUCGUAGAAAUUGGUGAUUUUGAUCUUGGGAAUUGACUGAUUACAGCAAACUAGAGCAUUGACUCGGAAAUUAGGGCUAUAACUGAUCGGAUUGUUGCUCAAAUCCAUAAAAUUAGGGCUAAAGAUGAUUUUCAAUUACAUUUAGGGCCAUGGUGUGUGAUAUUUGUGCCCUCAAUUUUCAAUUGCUUAAGGGAUCUUCAAGAAACUUCUAUUGGUUUUCUUUGUGGGAAUCUUGGCUUGGGCUUAUCAGGCAACGAAUCCUCCCCCGCCGAAGAUCUGUGGCUCGAAAGACGGGCCUCCGGUUACAGCUACAAGAAUACAGCUCAAGGAUGGAAGGCACUUGGCCUACAAAGAAUUUGGGGUACAAAAGGAUAAUGCGAAGCACGAGAUCGUGCUUGUCCAUGGCUUCGGUGCUUGCAGGCAUGACAUGUCUCUUUUAACUGCAGGGCUCUCCCCCCGGAUAUUGUCGAAAGCCGAGGGAUUUAUUUUGUUUCGUUUGAUCGACCUGGUUAUGGAGAGAAUGAUCCUAACCCUUCCGCGACACUUAGAAGCAUUUCUUCUGACAUCGAGGAGCUUGCUGAUCAGUUGGCUUUAGGAUCCAAAUUUUACGUUGCUGGAUUAUCCUUGGGUGGGGAGAUUGUGUGGACCUGCCUCAAGUACAUUCCUCACAGGAGCAGCUCUGGUUGGACCAGUGGUGAAUUAUUGGUGGAAAGGUAUUCCUUCGAACCUCACUGCAGAAGCAUAUAAGCAGCUUCUUCCUCAGGACCAAUGGGAGCUUCGUGUAGCUCAGUAUGCACCGUGGCUUAACUACUGGUGGAACACCCAAAAGCUGUUUCCUGGUGUGAGUCUUAUCAGUCUCAGCCCCAAAAUUUUCUCUCGUCAAGAUGCAGAACUAAUGCCAAGGUUGCACUCUAUACGACAGGAGUAUGUGGUAAUGGUUACUAUAUUCUUGAAUGCACACAACAGGAAAAGUGAAAUACAAACUAUUACUAGUUUUUUAAAAAAUUGGUCUUCUGCUUAUGUGUUUACUUGUGCUUAUAUCCGAACCUGAAAAUCCAUCGUUGUACAAACCCAAAAAUUCUUUUUCGUGUUUUUCCUAAACCUCUUGGGAAAUGUCAUGUAUUUACAUCUGUUGAUUUCCUUACCUCUAGCCAAUACUAAAACUAAGUCGACAUCCUUUCCUCACUGAUUUUCAGCUGAAGAUGCCAUCUUGUCACCUCUGUCGAGACUGUUCCUAGCAUAUACAUCACCCCUUGUUCUCAGCCUUGAACAUAUUUUCAUUUGUGAAGUGAAUAUACUACAUAUAACAAAGUCAUGUCAAUAUCUUAUAUCAAGCUGAAUUUUGCAGCGCUGAAAAUGAGUGUAAUUCAUUCGAGAAGGGGUUUACUUUGCGCAUAUAGAUUCGAUCACCAAAACAUAUGAUUGAGUGUUUUAAGCUAUAUAUAUAUAUAUAUAUAACUUGAAUUUGCAAUCCAGGCUCAGGUAAGGCAGCAGGGUGACUUCGAGUCUGUUCACCGUGAUCUGGCAUUCGCCUUUGGGAAGUGGGAAUUCGACCCAACGGAGGUGAGAAACCCCUUUCCAGAAGGCGAAGGCUCGGUUCACCUGUGGC